UGAUUGACUGGGUCAACAACACCAUAUUAAUUCGAAUAUGAGCUUAAACCAAUAUUUACUAACAUGAUCUAACAAGAGAUAUGGAUUAUCAAUGACCAGUUCCAACUGCCCAUUGCCUAAACCAAUUAACAGCCCAUAAAUUAACUACAACAUCAGUCCUAUUAUUACAUAUCCGGUACAAAUUUAAUCAUUCCAAAUGAACACCAAGGAAACAGUGUAUGACUUAAAGUAACAACACAAUACUUGCACUUCAAUCUCUUUUUCAAUUCAGUUUUAUUCAGCUUGUAAACACAUACACCACUCAAUGCUAGAGAUAAGUACCUGGAAGUAACGAAACAAAUGGGGAAUAAGAAGGAUCAGCAACAGGCAGCAGAAAUAAUUGAACCGCAGUAAUAGUUUCAACCCAGCAAGCAGAUCAGCAACCCAAGUACCAAACAAGAAGGAGAAAUUGACCAAAACAGCAUUAAUGCCAAACAAACGAACUCAAAUGGCAUCCAUAGGCAUCAGCAACCAUCAAACUCCAAUAAAUCCCAGUUUAAUUCAAUCCAAAAUGCUUAAUAACAAACCAACAUGGUCCAGAGCACUCUAACAAUCAAAGGAGAAGAAAAUCGAUCAAAACUAAGUCCCAAAACCAAUGUAACAGUGAUUUGUAUAUUUGCUGGGAUUUUAUCUACUUUCUUUUGGGUUUUUUUCUCGAAUGUACCGGGAGUUUCAGAUCCAGUAUUUCUAAUCUGAGAUUCAAAACUAACCUGGGAAGCUUAGACUAAAUUUUUGUUUUUUUUUUAUUUUUUUGAGGGGAUUUUGGGGCUCUCAGCUGAAGGAAGAAGACCUCUUCCCUAAGGCAUUUCAUGCCCUUUUAUAGGCAACAAGAGAGAGUAGAUCAAAUUUUAGGCCUUCUUUUUUAGUGCCUCCCUUAUUUUCAGUUUAGUCCCUCUAUUCUUGACUUGCUAAACAAGUAAAUGCAUCACAAUUAUUGAAAUCUACACUUGUACCCCAUUCUAGAAGCCUCUAGGAUGCUCUUUUAGCUAAGCAAUUCCUAUACUACCUUUACUCCUGCUUUGAAAUUACAAGUCCUUAAAGAAACUACCCAUUUCAUCCAACUAGAAUUACUAUCUUGUUUUCAGCUAUAACCAUACUACUCAAACAGCCGAGAUUUAAACAAAACUUCAAACAUUUACCCCAAAUCAAACAAAAUUCCGAACAAUCCAAUUAUUAAAACAAACUACUUAGCAUGAAGCCACCAACCAAAGAAGCCCCGAUUAAUUCAGAGUUUGAACUAAUCGACUGACAAGCCCACGCCCAAUAUUGAUAGAAAUAUAUGAAGAAUAAACAAAUACACAAACUAUUCUAAUCGAAUUCACUAGCUAAACCCACAGACAACAGAAAGCGUGAGGCCAUGACUUCUAAUCCUAACUGAUUGUUCAACAAACAAGGUUAUGAAUUAAACUAAUUGACAUUCAACUAAACUAAUCAACACAAAACAAAACUGAACAAAGCGAUGAACAAAGAAACUCACCGAUGGAGGGAAAACUCCGGCCAACCACUGUCGUCCGAAUCUUUCCAGAUUUUUGACACGUAGCAUCCCUAACCAUGUGUUUUCACAAGAAAACACAUGGUUAAGGAUAUUACGGUCCAAAGUCACAAAGAUUUUGCGUUAGGGUUUUUGGCCGGAAAAUUUAAAAUUGAUAUUUGAACCAAUCUAGGAAGAUUUGAGACCAACGGGUAUGGGGAUUGGGUAGAGUAGGUUCCGGCGGUCACAAGGUAUAAAUUUGAUGGUGAUUGGGUUACUUUGAGUUUUGGCAGGAAACCUUUGAUCAAAGAUUCGAUGAUCUAGGGAUAGAUUUGAAGGAAACGGAUGGUGGAUUCAUGACGAGGGGGAAGAGGAGGUCUCGUGAUGUUAUUUUGGUGGUCGAUGGCAUAAAUGGCGUUUCCCGCCGGCGAGGAUUCCGGCGAGCUCAAGGCUGUACGAGGAAGGAGGCAUCUGUCUCUAGGGUUUGUGAGUGUCCUUCAGACACUUUUAUUCAAAAUUUAUAUGGACUCUGAACCGUUGAUACAAGGCAGAUGAACGGUCAGGAUCGUAUCGCUUACAAAACGACGUCGUUUGGGUUAGGAUAGGGGUAGGCCA
rnacentral:lncRNA from 1 species